AACGAACGCUGGCGGCGUGCCUCAUACAUGCAAGUCGAACGAGAAAGUCUAGCUUCGGUUGGGCGAGUAAAGUGGCGGACGGGUGCGUAACACGUGAGAAACAUGCCUCAAUGUUGGGGAUAAGCCUGCGAAAGCGGGUCUAAUACCGGAUGUGGUCAUCGGAUCUCCUGGUCUGAUGAUUAAAGGUGGUUGAGUCUAUGCCAUCGCAUUGAGAUUGUCUCGCGUCCCAUUAGCUUGUUGGCGGUGUAAUGGACCACCAAGGCUCCGAUGGGUAGCCGACCUGAGAGGGUGAUCGGCCACACUGGGACUGAGAUACGGCCCAGACUCCUACGGGUGGCUG
rnacentral:rRNA from 1 species